rnacentral:misc_RNA from 1 species
CUCAAGGGAGAUUAUCACCGCCGGAGCGCCGCGUCGCCUCGGCC